AUCGCCGGUAUCUAAUUCCUCCGAAUCGCUGCUAUCGAAUUCCGGUGAAGAAGGCACCUCUAUUACUGGCUCCGAAGGCUCUGUUCCGGCACUCUCAUCCUCACUGGAGCUGUGACCAUCUGCCUCAGAGACAGGUGAAGGAGCCACCACAUCCACCACUUGCUCCGGUGGGCUCUCUGGGAACUCAAGAACCUCACUGAUUCCGUGAACCACAAGCCAGCCGUUGUGAUACAUCUCCGGCAUUAUCACCGGGACCCCAUUGAGCACCAAAACGCCGUCGUAUCGAGUGAUGUUGAUCAUAAACCCUUGCAGAUUAGUCCUCAACACAGUGCCGUCGUCGAGACUCACCAAAUCGUUCCAAGAAAGCUUGCAGGGGACCACGUGGCGGCGGAAGAUCGACGAGUACCCGCUCAGAUCUCCGAUUCGGGGCACCAUGGCUUGGUCAACGGGAGCGAAGACGGUCAACAUGGUCUGGUACUUGAGAAACCCAUGGAAUUGCAUUUCAAGAAACGAAGCCAUAACAGAGCAGCCUUUCAAUUUCAGCACCUUGCUUGCUUCACUGAACGGGUAAUGCGCCGCCGUUUCCACCGCCAUAGCUUCGUUAGGGUUUCGCGGCGUCAAGCAGCAGAGAUUCUUGGGGCUGUAGCUCCGAAUCGGACCCGAGAUCCGGAAAUACGGGUCGAAGAAUUUGUUGGUUCCGAAGAUGAUCAACGACCCGUCGUCGAAAAUUGGGGACGCCGUGACGGUGACGUUGUUGAGCGAGACGAGGCGGUCGGACGGCAGAGUGGUGACGGUGAGAGAGUGGCCGUCGAGCAGAGUGGCGAUCUUGGCGCCGAACGGGAGGGACUUGAGUGAUCGGAGAGGGAAAG
rnacentral:lncRNA from 1 species